UGCUCUCCUAUGGACGUGUUGUUUGCUAUUUCCUAACCAAGGACUUCUCCACCGAGAAGGUUUAAAACCAGAAUGCUAAUGACCCCCGAGUCCUUUUGUUGUCCUGUACAACUGUGAGGGUUGUUUAUAUAUCGUUUUUCAACGCAGAGCGCUAUGGUUUUCCACCAUUCCGCAGAGCUUAUCUGGUUUUCCAUAGGAGGGCGAUAGGUUAACUUCAUCUGGUUGACAAUAUUAUAUUUCGCUUCUCCUACCGAUUUAUCCGAGUUUCUCAUCUUGUUUGGUUUGUGCAGUAUAUCAGGUUGUGCAAAGAAGCAUGGGAGAAACCCUACAGAAGAAAAUCUAAUCUCUACAUUCAACAUAGGUUACUGUUGUUCAUCAAUUUGGCAUCUGGGUUCUGUUGAUAGGGUUACUCAAUCUUCUAUUGCAGGAAGAGCUAAUUGCUGAGCUCUGGAAGUUGAGAGCAAGGUAUGGUCACCAUUGCACAUUCAAGAUAUAAUGUGAAAGCUCCAUUCUGUCUUCUGGUUGGGAGUUUAGUACGAUGCAGGAAUUCAGCCUGGUGUGUACGAGAUUCACUGUUCUCGGAAUCAAACAACUGAAGAGAUGGUGAUUGAAUCAACGAAGUGUUGGCUGUUGUUGAGAGGUAUGUUGUUUAGGGGAUCCCAGCGUCUUGUUUGAAAACUAGAAAAUAUACUGAAGUUAAACCAGCCUUGACCAAUACACUAUGGCCCUAACAGAGCUGACCAGUGCCAAGUGAGAUGCCUUGUUUCUGCAAUAGAAGAUUAUAGUGCAAAGGAGUGGAUGUUUUCGUCUUAGUGUUCUCAUUAGUCACUCGUGCCAGCUAUGAAGAUUAUACUAACGCAUUGUGUUAACUAGUAUUGCCUUAUGCAUCUGUAAAAGCUAGGGAAUAUCUCGACAAGCCUGCUAUAACAAUGACCAAGGAUGCUGUUUCGGUUUGGAUUGGAUAAUUUCCAAGCAAAUAUGUACUCGAGCUGUCAAUAAAAUAUUUAUUGGACAGGAGAAGACUCGAGUCCUUGCUUGCUCAAUUUCAGAUGAGCAAACUCAAACACAAAAGGUCGAAAUGUAAAGAUGCAUACGCUUAAAGCACGAGUCAAAGAGUUAGUGGUGUUGUUUUUCAGGUCCCUAAUGAUAGAUUAGUAGCAAUUUCUGUUAGUUCUAAACAUGCGGUAAAAUGAAGCCUGAGAUUUUGUUGUGAUUGGAUGGUUCAGAACGCUCAGGUUUAGUAUCACUGAUUGUGGCUCAAGCCCUCACCAUUUAUGAAACUGAUAAAAUUUUAAGGACGCCAUGGACAGUGACGACUGAUUUUACACCAGUCUUCAAAAAUUUGCAAGUUAUCCUCAGUGAUUUUUGAACAAUGCAUGCAGCAAACCGAAAACGGUGAAGUAGUUAGCGCAAAACCGAAGCUACCUCAGAAUCUUUGAAAUCAAUAUUUUCUAAUUUUAGGAAACGAGCAGUUAUUCAAAUUUCAAUUGUAACAGAUGAGGCAUGGAGUUGAAGCAGCAACAUUAAAGUAUCAACCUUCCUACCAUUCUUUCCUAUUGUCAGUUACUCGUCUGCCAACCCAAGACAGACCUCAUCUGGCACUGCCAAAACGGAGGGUCCAUUAUCAUUGAAGCUCAGACUUUUGGGGCAUAAACCAUUUUCAACCCGGCACUCUCUGUCUUCCACUUCAAAGGUGGGGUAAAAAGCAUUUUGCUUCCAUUCAAAUAAAGAGUUAUUUUGUAAAAGGGUCGCAUGUUUAAUGUCUAAUUAGGGUCUGGGUCGUGAAAGAUGACGUUGAUGUGAAAGGGUCGUAGACUAACGUUAACAAAAUGUUAGCUGACUUUAUUGUUUCGCAUGACACCUUGACUACACGUUGACAGGCGUUGACAGUUUAUAUAUAGUCAAAAGCUACAUCUCCCAAGUCCUUUUCCAUCUUCUUCCCUC